CCUACGGGAGGCAGCAGUGGGGAAUAUUGCGCAAUGGGCGAAAGCCUGGCGCAGCGACGCCGCGUGAGGGAUGAAGGUCUUCGGAUCGUAAACCUCUGUCAGCAGGGAAGAACGGUCACUGUGCUAAUCAGCAGUGAAUUGACGGUACCUGCAAAGGAAGCACCGGCUAAUUCCGUGCCAGCCGCCGGGGGAAUACGGAGGGUGCGAGCGUUAAUCGGAAUUGCUGGGCGUAAAGCGCUCGUUGGCGGUAUGUCAAGUGAAGGGUGAAAUCCCUGGAGUCAAAGUGGAAACAGCCUUUGAAACUGACAAACUGGAGUGUGUGAGAGGAUAGUGGAAUUCGAGGUGUAGGAGUGAAAUCCAUAGAUAUCAGGAAGAACAUCAGUGGCGAAGGCGACUAACUGGCACAUAACUGACGCUGAAGAGCGAAAGCGUGGAUAGCGAACAGGAUUAGAUACCCGGGUAGUC
rnacentral:rRNA from 1 species